rnacentral:rRNA from 1 species
CGUAGGGUGCGAGCGUUAACCGGAAUUACUGGGCGUAAAGCGUGCGCAGGCGGUUUGUUAAGAUAGGCGUGAAAUCCCCGGGCUCAACCUGGGAACUGCGCUUAUGACUGGCAAGCUAGAGUACGGCAGAGGGGGUGGAAUUCCACGUGUAGCAGUGAAAUGCGUAGAGAUGUGGAGGAACACCAAUGGCGAAGGCAGCCCCCUGGGUCGAUACUGACGCUCAUGCACGAAAGCGUGGGUAGCAAACAGGAUUAGAUACCCUGGUAGUCCACGCCCUAAACGAUGUCAACUAGGUGUUGGGAGGGUAAAACCUUUUAGUACCGGAGCUAACGCGUGAAGUUGACGCCUGGGGAGUACGGCCGCAAGGUUAA